rnacentral:lncRNA from 1 species
CCUGCAGGAGCAGCCUGAGAACAAGUCUGGCAACACAAGGGAGCGUGUGUUCCCUUAAAUCAUUUCAACAAAGGACUAUAUUCAUGCCACCUUUUUUUUUUUGUGAUGUGGAAAGCAGUAAAAUCCUCUCCUGGAAAUCCUGUGCCUGGCUGUGUUGGCGACCUGGCGUGCGCUUUUACGCGCGGCCGCACGGUGGCGACCUGCGCUGCGCCGCCAGCUCACCACCAUCUGAACGUUUCCUCAUAAAGAACCCGGGACUCGUCCUCAUCCGACGCACACCGGCAGCCGGGCUCUCCUCCGCGGCAGGCUCCGACCAUGACAGCGUGACUGCGUGCAGGUUUCUCCCCCCGCUGCCCUCAUUCUCCGCUCUCCGAGCCGCUGAACUUCUUCCCAGCGCUCCUGUCAGACUGAAUUGCCGACCUUGACAGCGCGCUGUGGGGGAGGAUUCGAGUUAAAGUCUGUCCGGAGAAAGAAAAAAAAAAACAACUGUAAGCACUCGGUUGCGGACUGGGAGAGUGAAGUUAGAAGUAAGAGGCGGAAAACUGCAACAUCUCAAGGACGCGAGGAAAAAAAGUGCGAGGCGCGGAUCGUCACAGGUGCAGCGAGCAGCGGACUGGGUUUGGAUUUAACCUGGAUUCAUCUGACUGAGUUGCAUCCAGCACUUCAGAGAAACCAACUAACAGGCACCCGCUGGAGGAUCGUCAGUGUAUCCUGCGGGGGUCCGUGUGAGAACAGGUACAGGACUGUUGGACCGAACAGGCUGCGGACCCUCGGCUUUUUUUUUUUGUUGCGCGCCCACCUCGGUGCGCUCUGCCCGGCUCGAGUGGCGGCAGGAGACCCCCGGCAGCAGCAGCAGCAGCAGCGGCGGCGGCGGCAGCAGGAGGACCAGGAGGAAGAAGGAGGAGGACAGCAGAACCAGAACCACACUUCCACGCUUCCAGCUCACCGGGCACUUGUUGUCCAGCCUGCCUCUCCGGUUUGGAACAAUGUUUGCGGACUCCUGGAGCAGAUCGAUGUGGCGCGCCACAUGGAUUUUAUUUUUUUCCUUACUCAUCCACUCCGCACGAGCUCAAGUCCAUCCAAGCAGCAGCCAUCAGAUUUCAUUACGCGGUCGCUCCUGGGUCAAAAAAAUGCAGGAUUUAAUUGGAGUCUCCUCGGACCGUUCGGAGUGCGGCUCAUUGAAAGUGACCCCAGCGUGGGCCGCUCUCUCUUUUUCCAACGCGAUGAUUAAAGGACACGAUGAGGCGAGCAGCACGCCUUCUGGACGGACAUGUCAGCCACCGCUCGCCACGUUUUUAAUGACCAGUCUGCAGAAAAAAAAGAAAAAAAAGGCGGCUUUUUUAACGACGGACGGAGCCGAGCGCUGCGACGUCUCGCUCCGAGGGGAUGAUCUUCAGCUCUUGUAGUUUUUGUACGUUGUCGUUCAUCAUCAUUGUGCGGCGCGAGGAAUAAGAAAAAGACGCUUCAGUUUUAAUAAACAUUCCUCAGUACCUGAUUGAUGUCUGGAAAAUUUGCUCUGGGUCUGUCAGGCGCUGUGAUGUUUUCAUCUGAAGGGGGGGAGAAGCGUUCUGCAUGUCAAACUGAGGCCCUCUAACGCUUAAACACCCUAUUUUUGGUUCUGACACAUGAGCGCGCUCUCGGUUUUCUUCCUUAAAGCAUCAAAGAAAAAACAGGCCAUCCUCUCAAUUCAUCCCGGAUAUUUUGUUCACGGUGACAGUUAUAGGAGCUGUCUGCCUGUCCCACUGUUCACUUCCAUUCAUUUACCGAGGUCAUGCCGAGACAAUGCUGGGCUCGCCUGCUGGUUUUGUCAUUUCUAACACGUCUAUUUUGGAGCCGGGAGCAGCGGGGGACGACUCUAUUGGAAUGUCAUGUUUUGGCGUACAUGCUUCGGCAUCACUCAGCGUCUCGCAGAUUAGCUCGACUAGCUCCGGCUCGACUUUGGGAGCUUUAGACGGAGUUGAGGACUUCAUUCUGUCAGAGGCGUGGCGCUCAGAUUAACAUCCAUAAGUAAUGCUUGUGACAGGGCGUUUGGGGGGGGGGGAG